UGAUAUUUGUAUAAGUUAGCAUUACUGAUAAAAAUGUCAAAAAAUAACAAAAAAAAACAAUUUGGAGAACUUUGUGAAAGUUAUUGUUAAUUUGUAUAAUCAUUUGGAAUGGAAUUAGAAAGAGGUAAACGUAAAAUUAUAAGAGAUAAUUCUAAUAUCCUUAAGUGACAAAAGCUUUAUACAAAAGUUUCGCCUCAAUAAGGAGAAAUUUUUAUAUGUUUUGGAAAGCAUAAAGGCGAAUUAUAAACUCCACAAAGGUCCACUGCAGUUUGAGCAAUAAUAAAGCUGUUGCUUGACCAGUUUAAAAUUGCUUGCAUAGGGCGGAUACCAACAUUCGAUUGGUCAGAAUGGCUACAAGGCCUGGUGCAAAAAAGGUAUCCAGCUGAUGUUUACAAUACCAUCGAAGAAGUGCUGUGCCUAAGACACAUAGUGUUUUCAAUAACAAAUGAAGAGAAAGCCGAUGUCAGCAGAAGUUUCUAUAUGAAGUCAGGUGUUCCGGGAGUAAUUGAUGUACUGUCAUUUCGCGUUAAUGCAUGUUAAGAUAUGCUACACACAUGCAUUUGGGUGGGUGAAUGUCAUAAGGAAUGUGUCAUUAACUCGGUCAACUGCCCUGAAAGUAUACUUUUUACGGAUGAGAAACUUUCCUUUCUUACUUUCCACUGUUGAAGAAGUGACGAAAACAAAAUCUACGCAAAAACUUCCAAAGAGGAAAAAAAUUUUAUUCUAAGGGUUCAACGUGGUUACUAUCCAGCUAAUGGUUUGGUGGUAAGUCUCCUGUAAACCGUUACACCUUUUAAUUUUUGUAAAAAAGGGGUUAAAACUGUGGUAAAAGUGUACUAGUAGGAUGUUUAGAAGGUAUAGUAGGGUAAUUAAGCAAUACUCUCUCUCUCUCUUCGAUGGAGAGCAUUGUUUCUUUCCAGCAAGAUUCUACUCCAGCACACAAGGCAAAACCCCAGAAGUGGCCAAUAUUCCUAGUUUCAUAGUUUGUGGUCAGAGUUUUAGAACAUGGUCUGUCGAAUAAAGCACAGAAUUAAAGAGCCUCAAAAAAUUUUGGUUCGAGCAGCGCUGUCAAUACCAAUAGAAACUGUGCGUACUGCUAUUAAUCAAUUGCCGAAUUGUUUGAGGGCUUGUGUGACAGUAAAAUGUGACCAUUUGAAAUAAAAAUCGCUCUUUUAAUAUAUGCAUUAUUAAAUAAAAUUAACUCUAUGCAUUAUAGUUUCAUUUUUAUAAGGGCUUGAACUGGUAAAAGAACUUAUGGCAGGGUAAGUAUACAUAUAUAAGUUUAAACAGUAAAAUGAAGUGUUAUACGAAGUUGAUUGCUUUCGUUACAAGGAGUAACAGUUGUUGUUUCAGUUCCAACUUGAAUAAACUUGACACAGUAAAAAAGACUCAAAAAAUUGGUAGCUAGGAAAAUAAUAUCUUCUGUGACUACAUUGAAA